rnacentral:tRNA from 1 species
ACCUGGGUGGCUCAGUCGGUGAAGCAUCUGACUUCAGCUCAGGUCAUGAUCUCAUAUGACCUGUGGGUUCGAGCCCCGCAUCGGGCU